rfam:Gemmatimonas aurantiaca T-27 DNA, complete genome.
GGAUGGGUGGCCGAGUGGUUUAAGGCGCACGCCUGGAAAGCGUGUGGGGUCGCAAGGCUCUCGCGAGUUCGAAUCUCGCCUCAUCCG